GACGGAGGAGGCAAGCGUUGUUCGGAAUUAUUGGGCGUAAAGGGCUCGUAGGCGGAUCGGCAAGUCUGACGUGAAAUCUCCACCGCUCACCGGGGAGAGGUCGUUGGAUACUACCGAUCUGGAGUUUGGCAGAGGGUCGUGGAAUUCCGGGUGUAGCGGUGGAAUGCGUAGAUAUCCGGAAGAACACCGGUGGCGAAGGCGGCGACCUGGGCCAAAACUGACGCUGAGGAGCGAAAGCCAUCCAGUUUCAAGCG
rnacentral:rRNA from 1 species